UUCCUCUUCUCUCUUCUUCCUCCUUUCGCCGCCUUUAAACCUUGAAAAUGAUGUCCCCUGUUUCCUUUAGCUCUGCAUUGUAUAUGCUCCUUCAUUAGGUGAUUAACAUCCUUCAUUAAGCUGCUGUUAUCCUCAGCUAACAAAGGUGAGCUGUCCGGUUGGAAUGUCCAAUUUCGUGAAGAAAUUGAUAUAAAGUAUAGUCCCUCCUUUUCAGCUUUGAAAAUCUGUGUGAAGCCGAACACAAGAAAGGUUCUCCCGAGCUGGUUUGGCCCCUUUACUCUCUCUUUUUGUUGAUCCCUGUAUCACUUUUUGAUGG